UUGUUGCAAUUAUCUUGUAACCUAAUUCAAUUUUGUUUUUUUAGCUCACAUAUAGUUUUUUGGGGGAUUUUUUGCAAUAGACAACAGCAUUUAAAGAGAAUACACACUAGAUUCUGACCAGAAACUACAAGAGGAUGGUGUGUGUGCCCAAUCGCUGAACUGAUUUAAAAAAACAUCAUGAUGCCAGAUGCACACAGUGAAAAUAGAGAUUUGUUUUAUGAUGAUUUCAAAGCAGAACUGUAUCUGUGCUGUCAUUAUGUAUAUAAAUAUUUGUUAUCUUGUUUUUGAGUGUUAAGAGUCUUGUGUAAAAGAUUGGCAUUCUUUGUGGGAAAUUUGUCAUUUACAAAAUGCAAUGUCACACAGGUUUCCUCAUGACAUCUCCGAGUGUGAUUUAUAUUGUACAUAAUACUACAUUAUAAGUCAUUUUUACAUUUGCAUUAUAUAUAUAUUGAGGUUAAAAUAUUAACGAGAAGGAGAUAGUGUAAAUAAUUUCAAAUAUUGUAGUCACGUUCCUGUUUGUAAAUCAUUUGCAUACAAGAAUAAGUUAUACUGUGUGUUAUGGUAUUAACAUUGUAUACCAGUUGGGGUGACUAAGUCUUUCAUGGUGUUGUGAAAGAUACUAUUUUUAUUGUUUUAUUAAACCGUGUACACGUUAGUACAGCUCGGACAAAAAUCUCUGAUUAUUUGUACAAUAUUUAAUUAUAUGCACAGCUUCUUUCUUCAUUUUAGGUUUUUGUUUUUGUUUUUUUUUAAUUUUAAGGUAAAGGGUAUAACAAACUUUAACUGAUAGUUGUGAAAUGUUUGUUUAGGUCUUUUUCAGAAGAUGAAUUCCAUAAAAAUUACAUGUUCCGAUGCAUUUUUCAGAAAUAAUUUUGUUUGAAAUUUGAUUGCUAGAAAAUGGAAAUAAAAAGUAAAACAAAAACUGCCUGGGUGGAACAGAGGACCUUUACAUUGUAAUCCCCACACCUUACCAAUGGUCCCACCAUGGAAUUAUAAAUACAAGGUAUCGGGGUCCCACCAUGGAAUUAUAAAUACAAGGUAUCGGGGUCCCACCAUGGAAUUAUAAAUACAAGGUAUCAGAAUGAAUGUCCAAUUUAUGGAUUGCAAAGCCUGUUAAUAACUUUAAAAGUACCGUUACUCUAAGCCAGAAAAAAAUGUGUUUGCCUUAUUUUCUAAAUAGAAGGGAGACUACUCCGUCUUAGCCAUGUUGGUACCCUUUACCUUAAGAAUUAAUUACUUAUCAAGGUUCAUUUUACGUGGUAUUUAAUGUACUUAAACUUCAAACCAUUUUUAAUUUUGGUUGAUUAUAAGAAAAAGAUAAUAUCUGACUUUUUCAUACAUGAAAAGUUAGAUUGUUCAAGUAAUUCUAUUCGGCCUGUUGUAUAACUUUAUUAGUGUUAAGACUGGCAUUAUGUUAAUCAUGUAUUGAACAACGUAUUCCAAUAAUGUUUAUAUUCUUUAGAUGUGUUGACUUAUAUACAUUUGUUUACUGGUGCAUCUUUUCUUAUUAGAUGGUGCCACAGUGUAUUUAAAUAUCAAUUAUUUUUAUUUGUGGCUUGAUGCCAUUAUAGAGACUAAAUGAUAUUCUUGUUUGACUGCGAAUGUUAAAUAUUUUCGCUGAAUUAUGCAUUAAACAAAAGCAAUUCACAUUAAUAACUUCAUAACCACUUGACCUGUUCAGUGCUGUCACAACAGAAGGCAGCUAAGCCUUGAAUAGAGGUCAGUUUAUUACUCUUCAGAUUACUGCUUGUCACCACACAUUUCAUAUUACAUUGGGAUACAUAUUUCAAUAUAGACAAAGAUUGCAUUUGCAAUUUGAAUUGGGCACCAAUAAAUGAUGCUGACAUAGAUUAUAUUUGCAAUAUGAAUUUUGCACUGAUAAGUUGCUGUGUUAACAAACAGACAAAAGUAACAAACAGAAUUUUGGCAGCUCAUAGUCAUAAUGAUUUAUCUUGCCUCAUUUCAUCAUCCUUAUUUUAAGUAUGAAAUGAACAUAAACUGUCUCAAAAAACACCAAAAAAAUAAGUGAAUGUUUUGUGGGAUUGAAAAGUUGUUAAGCUACAAUAGUUAUUUUCUGUGUUCUUUUUUACUCAUCACUUUUACCAAGCCGCAGAGAAAUCAUGUAAAUAUUAUAAAUAUGUCCCUAUUCCACUUUAUCUCAUAUAAACACACCUUCUGGCCUUUAUUCGAUGUACAUUUAACUUAACUCACAAGUCAUACUACUUUAUACUACUCUUACCAUUGAAGGACAGUUUAGGCAGUCUACUCCAAUGAUCCCUGUCCCACUACCAAAUUCUGUAAUUAUGCUAUGGAAACUGUCCUCGGGCAUGACUGUAGCUUUGACUUUCGAGACUACCAGCGCUAUUGUGAAAAAACAAUAAAGACGAAAUAAACAAAAUAUAAUCAACAGUACCGUUCUGAAUGUGAUAAAAUCAGCGUGUAAGACUUUUGAUUCAAACCUUGGACUGAAGACCUUUUUACUAUCACUCUACGCUAGUGAGCUUCUGGUCAACAGAAGUGUCCUGGCACAAAUGUGCUAUAGUAAUAUCAAAAGGGAAAGGGAUCCCUAAAUUGGAUUGUGUUUUGUUUCUCUAUAAGCAAAUAUGUAUAUACAAACAAAUAUCAAAACACAUUCCUCAUCUUAUGUCUUUGCUAAUGAAUAUAUUAUUUUACUAGUCUUUACUAGAGAUUUUUUUCAUUUUUUUUUUUUUUUACAGAACUUUGUAUUUUAUGAUCAGAAACUGGCUGUGUCACUAUAGUUAGAUUUGCCUGGUGUGAAAUAAAUCUGGCUGUACCAUUAUCGUAAGAAUUACAAGGUACAUGUAAAUAAUGUACAUACCUUUAAGUUACUGUGCUUAUUGUCAAAAAUGUAUACCGGGACUUUGUUUAGAUGUUACCCAUGUUACUCAUCUGAAUAUGUCUGUAAAUUACAAAUAAAAUGUAAAUUGAAGAUUGAAUGUGAUGUUGUAUUCUAGAUCAUCCUCAUAACUAGGUUGUAUUACAAGUGCAAUUUGUCAGUAUGCUACCUUCACAGACUGCCUUUUAGAUGUUGAAACAAAGUUGACAAUGCUUGUUGAGAACCAUCAAUAAACUUUCCCAAAAUCUUAUUUCAUUAUAUCAAGAAAGACAUCAAGACACGCCUGAUAAACGUAUUUCUACAAAAAGAGACUCUAAUGCAAGCCCUGGUAAACUUAUUACUACAGGGAGACUCCAAGACCGGCCUUGGUAACCUGGAGAACAGGAAGUGGCCGUUCUGUUUGUCUAUUUACUAACCAGAGUUACCAACCCUCUGUUGUUUGGUAUAUGAAGUGCCUAUCUACUUGUUGGUAUACAUAUAAUCUUUCUGCAGUUAAUGAUUCCUUACAUGCAUUGUCAACUUUUACAUAUUUUGGUGACUACAUGCGAUAGAUAAACCUACCUAUUUGUUGUGUGAUGAUCUUCAUGUUUUACAUUCUCGAGGUGGCUGCUAUAAAAGGGUCUUGUUUACGUGUCUGGGUUCUGUGAUGAUAUAUUUAAGCAUAAUCUGUGUUGCUUUCAGAGCAAACAAAAUGAAAUUGACAGUUUGUCCUUUGAUUACAGUAAAACAUGCUUAUGAUGAAUGGUCUUAUUCCAAAUUCUUGUUUAUAACAAAGUGUUAUUUACGUACUUGGCAAGGAAUUGCCUCGUGAAUAUCAAACUGAAUGAUAAAUGAUAGGUUACUUUGUAUUCAUUUGAAGUCUGUUUUACUGUGUGUCUGCUGGUGUUAUUUAUAAUAAUUUAUAUAUCUUGUAUAUCAGUGUUAUAUUUUUGUGAAUGUAUUUAACAGCCAUCCCAGUUCUAAGGGAUCCUAACUGCUCGCAGCAAUUUUCUUUUGAGUUAUCUCCAUGAUUUGCUGUUGAUAGCAUUUAAGUUUUCAUAUUUUGACUUGUUUUCUCACUUUACAAAACUUACUUAAUAUGUUACUUGAACAAAGUGUUUGUAGUCGGGACUAAGAUGAUGUUGAUUUGUUUCCAUCUAUUAUCAAAUUUCUGUUGCACUACUUCAUUGUACUAUCAUACCAAUAAUUAUUUUGUUCCUUAGUUUUAACAGUGAUUAGGAAAAUGUUUUAUACAUUGUCAUAAUUUGAUGUAGGUAAGUCAUAUAUACUAAAGUAUAUACAUCACAUUUUACAUUGUCAUAACAUGAUGUAGGUUAUCAUGAUUAUACUUUAAGCAUUAUCACAAUUCGAUGUAGAUGACGGUAUACAUUGUCACCAUUCAACAUAAUUGAGUGUAAUUCAUCUGCAUAUUCUUCUGUGGAAACAAGUUGCCUUUCUAAUAAAACAAUACAAAUUUU